rnacentral:misc_RNA from 1 species
CCGAGUUUACAACUCCCAAACCCCUGUGAACAUACCUUUAUGUUGCCUCGGCGGAUCAGCCCGCGCCCCGUAAAACGGGACGGCCCGCCGCAGGAAACCCUAAACUCUGUUUUUAGUGGAGCUUCUGAGUAUAAAAAACAAAUAAAUCA